rnacentral:rRNA from 1 species
GACGAAUGCUGGCUGCGUGCUUAACACAUGCAAGUCGAACGGUGAAGGAGAGCUUGCUCUCCGGAUCAGUGGCGAACGGGUGAGUAACACGUGGGCAACCUGCCCCUCACUCUGGGAUAACGCCGGGAAACCGGCGCUAAUACCGGAUACGACCAGGCGCGACGUCUCGCCUGGUGGAAAGAAUUUCGGUGAGGGAUGGGCCCGCGGCCUAUCAGCUUGUUGGUGGGGUAACGGCCCACCAAGGCGACGACGGGUAGCCGGCCUGAGAGGGCGACCGGCCACACUGGGACUGAGACACGGCCCAGACUCCUACGGGAGGCAGCAGUGGGGAAUAUUGGACAAUGGGCGCAAGCCUGAUCCAGCAAUACCACGUGAGUGAUGAAGGCCUUCGGGUUGUAAAACUCUUUUAGUAGGGAAGAUAAUGACGGUACCUACAGAAAAAGCACCGGCUAACUUCGUGCCAGCAGCCGCCGUAAAAC